AACGGCCGUACCAUGCUGAAUAUACCGGUUCUCGUUAGAUCACCGAAGUUAAGCAUCAUUGGGCGCGGUCAGUACUUGGGUGGGUGUAC